AGAGUUUGAUCCUGGCUCAGGAUGAACGCUGGCGGCGUGCUUAACACAUGCAAGUCGAACGAAGCAUCUUAAGCUGAUUUCUUCGGAAUGAAGUUUUUGAUGACUGAGUGGCGGACGGGUGAGUAACGCGUGGGUAACCUGCCUCAUACAGGGGGAUAACAGUUAGAAAUGGCUGCUAAUACCGCAUAAGCGCACAGUGUCACAUGACACAGUGUGAAAAACUCCGGUGGUAUGAGAUGGACCCGCGUCUGAUUAGCUAGUUGGUAAGGUAACGGCCUACCAAGGCAACGAUCAGUAGCCGACCUGAGAGGGUGAUCGGCCACAUUGGGACUGAGACACGGCCCAAACUCCUACGGGAGGCAGCAGUGGGGAAUAUUGCACAAUGGGGGAAACCCUGAUGCAGCAACGCCGCGUGAAGGAAGACGGUUUUCGGAUUGUAAACUUCUAUCGAUAGGGACGAAAAAAAUGACGGUACCUAAAUAAGAAGCCCCGGCUAACUACGUGCCAGCAGCCGCGGUA
rnacentral:rRNA from 1 species